AAUUUGGAGGAAAGGUGGGCCAUGGGCCAAGGAACCAUUGAUUAGACUUUGAUGCAAAUCUGAAUAUGUGGCUUGGCAGAGUUUACAGUACAGGAGCAGUCUCUUGGACUGAGUUCAUUUACAGAGAUGCUUCAUUGGGAUAAACCCAGACAGGGGUUCAAAGAUGACAUCAAAGAAGAUGGGUAAAAUCAUCAACUAGAAAUCUCUCACAGUCAACCCUCAUUGUCUCGACUCUCCUGAAGAAUGUCAUGGACUUUCAAUGGGACUUGAAGUUUUUACAGACUCACACUAAUGCAGACACAAACUUAUAAAGAGUUCUGGGUUUUGCAUAUAUGCGAAUUUGGAUUUUUGUUUUUUAUUUUUUAAACAGUUAUCAUUUAUCAAUGAGCGGUAGUUAGCCAGCUAGGUGAUGGGGCAUAAAGUGA